rnacentral:rRNA from 1 species
CGCAGCCGCGGGAAUACGGAGGGUGCAAGCGUUAAUCGGAAUUACUGGGCGUAAAGCGUGCGUAGGCGGUUCGUUAAGUCUGUUGUGAAAGCCCCGGGCUCAACCUGGGAAUUGCAGUGGAUACUGGGUCACUAGAGUGUGGUAGAGGAUAGUGGAAUUUCCGGUGUAGCAGUGAAAUGCGUAGAGAUCGGAAGGAACAUCUGUGGCGAAGGCGACUAUCUGGGCCAACACUGACACUGAGGCACGAAAGCGUGGGGAGCAAACAGGAUUAGAUACCCGAGUAGUCCCUGUCUCUUAUACA